CGUUACCAAACUGUUGCCUCGGCGGGAUCUCUGCCCCGGGUGCGUCGCAGCCCCGGACCAAGGCGCCCGCCGGAGGACCAACCAAAACUCUUAUUGUAUACCCCCUCGCGGGUUUUUUUAUAAUCUGAGCCUUCUCGGCGCCUCUCGUAGGCGUUUCGAAAAUGAAUCAAAACUUUCAACAACGGAUCUCUUGGUUCUGGCAUCGAUGAAGAACGCAGCGAAAUGCGAUAAGUAAUGUGAAUUGCAGAAUUCAGUGAAUCAUCGAAUCUUUGAACGCACAUUGCGCCCGCCAGUAUUCUGGCGGGCAUGCCUGUCCGAGCGUCAUUUCAACCCUCGAACCCCUCCGGGGGGUCGGCGUUGGGGAUCGGCCCUGCCUUGGCGGUGGCCGUCUCCGAAAUACAGUGGCGGUCUCGCCGCAGCCUCUCCUGCGCAGUAGUUUGCACACUCGCAUCGGGAGCGCGGCGCGUCCACAGCCGUUAAACACCCAACUUCUGAAAUGUUGACCUCGGAUCAGGUAGGAAUACCCGCUGAACUUA
rnacentral:rRNA from 1 species